UACGGGGGGGGCAAGCGUUGUUCGGAAUUACUGGGCGUAAAGGCGCGUAGGCGGCUUUUCAAGUCGGGCGUGAAAUCUCCAGGCUUAACCUGGAAGGGUCGGUUCGAGUACUGUAAGCUAGAGUGUGGAAGAGGCUACUGGAAUUCCGUGUGUAGCGGUGAAAUGCGUAGAUAUACGGAGGAACACCUGCGGCGAAGGCGGGUAGCUGGGCCAACACAUGACGCU
rnacentral:rRNA from 1 species